UACGUAGGGGGCAAGCGUUGUCCGGAAUCAUUGGGCGUAAAGAGCGUGUAGGCGGCCCGGUAAGUCCGCUGUGAAAGUCCAGGGCUCAACCCUGGGAUGCCGGUGGAUACUGUCGGGCUCGAGUCCGGAAGAGGAGUGUGGAAUUCCUGGUGUAGCGGUGAAAUGCGCAGAUAUCGGGAAGAACACCCGUGGCGAAGGCGGCUCUCUGGAACGGUACUGACGCUGAGACGCGAAAGCGUGGGGAGCGAACAGG
rnacentral:rRNA from 1 species